CCCUAGCCCUGAUGGAAGCGGCAUCCUUUUGUGGUGGGGUUCACCACAAAAGAUAUAGCGGACAGCAGGAAUAGCU
rnacentral:sRNA from 1 species